rnacentral:rRNA from 1 species
CGCAAGCCUGAUCUAGCCAUGCCGCGUGAGUGAUGAAGGUCUUAGGAUCGUAAAGCUCUUUCGCCAGGGAUGAUAAUGACAGUACCUGGUAAAGAAACCCCGGCUAAACUCCGUGCCAGCAGCCGCGGUAAUACGGAGGGGUUAGCGUUGUUCGGAAUUACUGGGCGUAAAGCGCGCGUAGGCGGAUUGAAAGUUGGGGUGAAAUCCCAGGCUCAACCCUGGAACUGCCUCCAAAACUACCCAGUCUUGAGUUCGAGAGAGGUGAGUGGAACUCCGAGUGUAGAGGUGAAAUUCGUAGAUAUUCGGAAGAACACCAGUGGCGAAGGCGGCUCACUGGCUCGAUACUGACGCUGAGGUGCGAAAGUGUGGGGAGCAAACAGGAUUAGAUACCCUGGUAG